AUUAAAAUACCUUUCAUUAUACUUUCAUAGACCGUAUCGGGAACUGUAAUCAUCUGGGUAUAUUGACUGGCAACCUUCUCUUGAAUCAUUUCCUUGGCUUUUUCACAAUUCUCCGGACUUCCGACGAUUGUAAUAGUGACAGUCUCUUCAGGGUCAAGAACAUUCGGGAUGUUGAGCAUGGUAGACGUUUUCCUUUCGAUGUCACGACG